rnacentral:rRNA from 1 species
CCUACGGGAGGCAGCAGUGGGGAAUAUUGCACAAUGGGGGCAACCCUGAUGCAGCGACGCCGCGUGAGUGAAGAAUUAUUUCGGUGUGUAAAGCUCUAUCAGCAAGGGAAUAAAGAGACGGUAGCUGACUAAGCAGCCCCGGCUAACUACGUGCCAGCAGCCGCGGUAAUACGUAGGGGGCAAGCAUUAUCCGGAUUUACUGGGUUUAAAGGGAGCGUAGACGGGUGUGCAAGUCUGAAGUGAAAGCCCAGGGCUCAACCCUGGGACUGCUUUGGAAACUGGGGAUCUAGAGUGCUGUAGAGGUAAGCGGAAUUCCUAGUGUAGCGGUGAAAUGCGUAGAUAUCAGGAGGAACACCAGUGGCGAAGGCGGCUUACUGGACAGUAACUGACGUUGAGGCUCGAAAGCGUGGGGAGCAAACAGGAUUAGAUACCCUGGUAGUC